UACGGGGGGGGCAAGCGUUGUUCGGAAUUACUGGGCGUAAAGGGCUUGUAGGUGGCCAACUAAGUCAGACGUGAAAUCCCUCAGCUUAACUGGGGAACUGCUUCUGAUACUGGAUGGCUUGAGUUUGGGAGAGGGAUGCGGAAUUCCAGGUGUAGCGGUGAAAUGCGUAGAUAUCUGGAGGAACACCGGUGGCGAAGGCGGCAUCCUGGACCAACACUGACACUGAAAAGCGAAAGCCAAGGGGAGCAAACGGG
rnacentral:rRNA from 1 species